AGAGUUUGAUUCUGGCUCAGGAUGAACGCUAGCGGCAGGCUUAACACAUGCAAGUCGAGGGGCAGCGAGUCGGUAGCAAUACUGAUGUCGGCGACCGGCGCACGGGUGAGUAACGCGUAUGCAACCUUUCCCAGACAGGGGGAUAGCCCAGGGAAACUUGGAUUAAUACCCCCGUAGGCCACGGAUGGGCAUCCGUCUGUGGUUAAAGUUCCGGCGGUCUGGGGUGGGCAUGCGUGCCAUUAGGCAGUUGGUGGGGUAACGGCCCACCAAACCGACGAUGGCUACGGGGUCUAAAAGGAUGGUCCCGCACAUUGGAACUGAGACACGGUCCAAACUCCUACGGGAGGCAGCAGUGAGGAAUAUUGGUCAAUGGGGGGAACCCUGAACCAGCCAUGCCGCGUGGAGGAAGACGGCCCUACGGGUUGUAAACUCCUUUAGCACGGGAAUAAUCCGUCCCACGCGUGGGGCGUUGAAGGUACCGUGAGAAUAAGCAUCGGCUAACUCCGUGCCAGCCGCCGC
rnacentral:rRNA from 1 species